rnacentral:rRNA from 1 species
CCUACGGGAGGCAGCAGUGAGGAAUAUUGGUCAAUGGCCGAAAGGCUGAACCAGCCAAGUAGCGUGAGGGAAGACUGCCCUAUGGGUUGUAAACCUCUUUUAUGCGGGGAUAAAGGUGUCCACGUGUGGAUGUUUGCAGGUACCGUAUGAAUAAGGAUCGGCUAACUCCGUGCCAGCAGCCGCGGUAAUACGUAGGGUCCGAGCGUUAUCCGGAUUUAUUGGGCGUAAAGGGUGCGUAGAUGGCAUAUUAAGUCGUUUGUAAAAUUGCGGGGCUCAACCCAGUAGGGCAAAAGAUACUGGAAGGCUAGAGUAUGACAGAGGCAGGUGGAACUAGAUGUGUAGCGGUGAAAUGCGUAGAUAUAUGUAAGAACACCAGUGGCGAAGGCAGCUUGCUGGAUCGAUACUGACAUUGAGGCACGAAAGCGUGGGUAGCAAACAGGAUUAGAUACCCGUGUAGUC